GGAAGUUCCAACAGCUGGUUUGGAACGAGUAGUAAAGCAUGCUAAGGUAAUACAUCCAUGGUCGAAGGAGGGAGCCAUGUUUUGUCCAUAUUGUGGCCAUAACCUGAGAAAUGUUGUUAAAUUUUGUGGAUCAUGUGGCAAGAAUAUUGAGUUUUUGGCAGACAUUGAUGACAAUGAGCCAUUUCUACAAAACAUUUCAAAAGAAGAUCUCAUUCAGAAAUAUUUCAGAGAUGGUUAUUCCUAUAAUGAAAUUUUGGACGUUUUGGCAUCAAAACACAAGCAGAAGAUUAGUCUCACCACACUGAAAUCAAAAUUAAAAAGUUUGUCACUGUCCCGCAAAAGACAUUAUUCACCUCUACCCUUGGUUCGUGCUGCAAUAAUGGAAGAGCUGAAGGGACCUGGGCAACAUUAUGGUUACCGUUCAAUGUGGCAGACAUUGUAUCAGAAACACUGUCUUUCAGUGAAAAGGCAUGAUGUCAUGGUAAUAAUGGCAGAGCUCAACCCGUCUGGAGUUAGAAAUCGCUCCAGACAAAGGUUUGUAAGAAGAGUAUAUGAUUCACCUGGACCAAACCAUACUUGGCAUGUUGAUGGCUAUGACAAAUUAAAGCCAUAUGGUUUGGCUAUCAGUGGUUGUAUUGAUGGCUAUUCCCGGAAGGUAUUAUGGUUGGUUUGUGGAGCAACUAACAACAACCCAGAAGUCAUAGCUCAACACUACCUUCAAUGUGCUUCAGAGUUUGGAGUCAUACCACUGCGGCUUCGCACAGACUGUGGCACUGAAAAUGGUACAAUGGCAGCAAUGCAAUGUGCCUUACGGUCAUCUCAUCAGGAUUUGUUUGCAGGAGCUGCCAGUCAUAUGUAUGGUUCUUCAACAUCAAACCAAAGAAUUGAAAGCUGGUGGUCGUACUUCAGAAAACAGCGGUACGUUUUAAAUAGUUGUCACAAACCACUGCAAUAACCAGACUGUUAGCCCAGAUGCUGUAACACUUAAUCAGUGAUGCUCAAGCUUUUGCUGCAUGUCACACCACCUUACCUUCAUCUAUCCACUUUUACUAUCUGGCCCUUCAGUUCACUUACAUGAAAGCAAAAGCUACAAAA